CUGCCAAAAAAAUAACAAACAAAAAAAAAAAAUGGAAUAUCAAACCAACUAGAAUUGUAUAAUGGAUCAUUCACGCCCGCAUCCGCCUGUUAAGAAAAAAAAAGGAUUUUCUUUACUAAAUCUGCUGGGGCUGCAUUUUCUUUUGUUAAAAAAAAAAUGAGGAAUAUGGAGUAAUCUAAAAAGGCAAUUUCUUCUUGGUUUGGGCUUUCAAGGCCAUAUUAGUUGCAUGGGAAAUCACAUUCGCACAUUUGUUUCCAAACGUCAUUGAGUUCCUGUUAGAUGCUCAGAUAUUCGAUGUGAUUUUUUGCAAUUGCAAAUGGGCGAGUAUACGACAAUAGUGUUGUGAUAUAUUGUGAUUGGAUGGAAGGUUAAUGACUGUUCGAGUAUUUGUUGCAUCCUCUGUAUGAGACAAAACUACACAUACGCAAUUGAUUCUCUUUGUAUUCGAGAAGGUACUCAAUGUUGAGCCCAUUUUCUUUGCAUUAAGAAUUGGCGAGCGGUUUAUGAAAGAACAUAAAGCAAGAAAUAUUAUUUGGCUGUCGUGACAAAGUUUUUGUGUCCCCAUCUUUAAGAGUAUACAAAAAACUCUCCAUCUGUUCUCAUCGGUGACGGAGGAAUCAACACUUGCACCAGGUCGUGUAUAUUAAUAUGCUUGUAAGACAAAUGGAGCUUGAACGCUUGUCUUUUGAACUCCAGUUCGCCUGCCAUUUAGUAGAUGGCGCAAACCCACGUAUCUGAGAAAAAACACUUUAAAUUUAUGAUU